UGAUAUUCUAAAGAAGAAUUAUUUUUGUUCGAGAAGUACAAGUGCUGUAAAGCUUAUUGUCUUGAUAUUGCUUUGAGCAGGAAUAGUAUUAUAUUGUGCACAUCGCACAUCGGGAGGCAACAUAACAUGGAACAAGGUAAAGUAAAAUGGUUUAACGCAGAAAAAGGUUUCGGUUUCAUCGAGCGCGAAGCUGGAGACGAUGUAUUCGUUCACUUCUCAGCUAUUCAAGGCGAAGGCUACAAAUCUUUAGACGAAGGUCAAGAAGUUACGUUUGAAGUUGAACAAGGCCAACGUGGACCACAAGCAACUAACGUACAAAAAGCAUAAUCAUAUAGACUUCGUAAAAAGGCAAUCUCCUCUGAGAUUGCCUUUUUG
rnacentral:other from 1 species